rnacentral:rRNA from 1 species
AUUGAACGCUGGCGGCAGGCCUAACACAUGCAAGUCGAGCGAGCGGCGGACGGGUGAGUAAAGUCUGGGAAACUGCCUGAUGGAGGGGGAUAACUACUGGAAACGGUAGCUAAUAUCGCAGACCAUCAGAGGUGCCCAGAUGGGAGUAGCUAGUAGGUGGGGUAACGGCUCACCUAGGCGACGAUCCCUAGCUGGUCUGUGAGGAUGACCAGACACACUGGAACUGAGACACGGUCCAGACGCCUACGGGAGGCAGCAGUGGGGAAUAUUGCACAAUGGGCGCAAGCCUGAUGCAGCCAUCCCGCGUGUGUGAAGAAGGCCUUCGGGUUGUAAAGCACUUUCAGCGAGGAGGCGUUACCCGCAGAAUCAGCACCGGCUAACUCCGUGCCAGCAGCCGCGGUGCUUC